rnacentral:rRNA from 1 species
GACGAACCGUGCGAACGUUGUUCGGAAUCACUGGGCCUAAAGGGCGCGUAGGCGGCUUUUCAAGUCAGGGGUGAAAUCCGGCAGCUCAACUGUCGAAGUGCCCUUGAUACUGACGAGCUCGAGGGAGGUAGGGGUGUGUGGAACUUCCGGUGGAGCGGUGAAAUGCGUUGAUAUCGGAAGGAACGCCGGUGGCGAAAGCGACGCACUGGACCUCUUCUGACGCUGAGGCGCGAAAGCCAGGGGAGCAAACGGG